GGCUCGUUGGAGAAGCGGCUUAACUCAUCGCCCUUUCAAGGCGACAUUCACGGGUUCGAAUCCCGUACGAGUCA
rnacentral:tRNA from 1 species